GUCCUCUUUUCUGAAAUGCAUUGCAAAUCCAUGACCUGAUAUCUUAAGGUUGAAUUGGUGCCUGGGGAAAAUAUAAUAUGCAAUUUAGUAACAUUAAUAGAUUAGCCAAAGUAAGUAGAAUAAAUAUUUAAAAUAGCUGAAAGAGAGAUAGCAUCUCUUAAAGUAGCACGGGCCACAUGUAAGCAGUCAUCCGCACAGAAAACAUGAGAAAUUUCAGGGCCUUCGUGAACUUUAAAACCAAGAAGAAGAUGC
rnacentral:lncRNA from 1 species